rnacentral:rRNA from 1 species
AUUGAACGCUGGCGGCAGGCUUAACACAUGCAAGUCGAGCGAAGCGGGGACGGGUGAGUAACACGUGGAUAACCUCCUAUAAGACUGGGAUAACUUCGGGAAACCGGAGCUAAACCGGAUAAUUAUAGAUGGAUCCGCGCUGCAUUAGCUAGUUGGUACGGUAACGGCUUACCAAGGCAACGAUGCAUAGCCGACCUGAGAGGGUGAUCGGCCACACUGGAACUGGGACACGGUCCAGACUCCUACGGGAGGCAGCAGUAGGGAAUCUUCCGCAAUGGGCGAAAGUCUGACGGAGCAACGCCGCGUGAGUGAAGAAGGUUUUCGGAUCGUAAAGCUCUGUUGUUAAGGAAGCGGUACUUAACCAGAAAGGGACGGCUAACUACGUGCCAGCAGCCGCGGUAAUAC